UACGAGGGGGGCGAGCGUUGUUCGGAAUUAUUGGGCGUAAAGGGUGCGUAGGCGGUUUGGUAAGUCUUAUGUGAAAUCUAUGGGCUCAACUCAUAGUCUGCAUGAGAAACUGCCGGGCUUGAGUAUGGGAGAGGUGAGUGGAAUUCCUGGUGUAGCGGUGAAAUGCGUAGAUAUGUGGAGGAAUACCGAUGGCGAAGGCAGCCCCCUGGGAUAACACUGACGCUCAUGCACGAAAGCGUGGGGAGCAAACAGG
rnacentral:rRNA from 1 species